UAGUCAGAUGUGAAAGCCUUCUGUUCAACGGGAGAAUUGCAUCUGAAACUACAAACCUUGAGUAUAGGAGGGGAGGGUGGAACUUCUGGUGGAGCGGUGAAAUGCGUAGAUAUCAGAAGGAACGCCGGCGGCGAAAGCGACUCUCUGGCCUAUAACUGACACUGAGUGUGCGAAAGCUAGGGGAGCAAACGGGAUUAGAUACCCCGGUAGUCCUAGCCGUAAACGAU
rnacentral:rRNA from 1 species